UUUCUUUCUUUCUUAGAAACGCCAUGUAUUAUUCGAACUGCACUUCAGUAUGUAAUUUUCAGAGCCAAAGUAGGGCGGUCACAUUUCUCACUGAGCUAAAGCUUAAUUGUCCUAGUCGAGAGGUGGAUAUCAUGGCCUGCUUCAUUUCAGUAGCAUGUACUUGGUAAUCGGAUGCCAAAAAAAAAAAAAAACACAGUCGCAUGAAGCACUUAUGCUGGCCUUUUCGUGGUGUGAUGCAAGCAUUGCUGUUGGUGAGACAAUGUGUCGAAUACACAAAGAUGAGGAAAAAAAACAAAAGAAUCAUUGAUGUGCGCAUCGAGAGAGAAAAAAACAAACAUGCAAACAGCGACCUACCUGCCACAUUGUUUAUUGAAAUUAACGGCAAAUGAUGAAAGAUUCUCCGUCGCAAAAUCCCGGUCGUCUGCCGUCGUCGCUGUCAAACUGAAUUAUUGUGAGACGCGAGAAACAACCCGUUUCUGAAUGUGAACGUUGUGGUGAUUUAGUUAAAAGAGAAUCAAACAGUUAUGGAGUUUAUGAAAAUAAUUUUCUUUAAAUCAGUAGCAGAAGCCUUGGUUCAGCAUCCUGAGCUCCAAGAUGUUUUAUUUUGGAGGUUGAUACAAUGGAAGAUGAAAUUAUGCCUAAAUGUGGAUUAAUUAACUUAUUUAGUUUUUUCUUCUUAGUGCAACGUUUACCAAGGCUUCGGUACCGUCACACUCGUGUCUAUUUUUUGAUUGGUAGUCUGUCCUUCCUUGAACCUACAGCGCAAACGCUGAAAAAUAAAGCCUAUGCAUAAUUGAAUCACCUGGACCAAAAUAACUCCACCAUGUCAGUGCAAAAAAAAAAAAAGAAACAAUCUCCGAGGUACUGUGAUUGUAAUCACGGAGCAUGAACAAAGGGGAAUGUUAUGUCGCUGUGCGGAGCGGAGCGGUGGCCCGGUCUUUCUGAAAAAUAGAAUAAAGCAGAGCCAAAUAAUGCUGGUGACGGUUUAUUCACUGGCCAGGACCACAAAGGAAAGGUUAUCAAACGGUGUUUGAAUCAACAUGUAAAACUCGAAAUCCCAAAAUUAUUUGGAUUUCGGUGCUGAUGGGAGAACGUUAAUCCAGAAGAUUUCAUGUGUAGUCGAUGAAGCGUAUUGUAACAAUGGAACUUAAGUAACUAAAAGCCAGACUAGUGGAUCACUUGAACAGUCCUUGAUGGUUAAUUUUUUUAGGUUUUGUUCACUUCUUUAAGUUCCAUGUUAUAUGGAUGGAAUACGCACCGGACUAAGCGUUACAUUUCUUGGUAAUAAAUCACUGAAAUGAUAAACUCCCUUCUGCCUCCUACGAAUGCGACGUUGGUUGUAGACCAUUUUCAUCCGAGUCUCUGACUGUGCAGAUGCUGAUUUGUUUGUUUUUUAAUAGAAAAAAAUUCAGAAACCUCUAUCCAUAGUUGUGCAGGCAGAGUCUUAGUUUGAACUUUCUUCUUGAUACUCCCCAAUCAAUGUAAAACAACAAUCCACCAAAUCUUCUAAGUUGUCAUUUGCUUCACGGAGAAGUCGUAAACCUGCUUCCACAGCCGAGUGAUCCGAGCGAGCUGAUCCCAUCGAGUGAGAAAAAGGAAGCCGUUCGAUUGGAUAGCGGGCGCCAUCCGUUCCCACCCUGACCACAGACAUGCAGGUUACAGUGUCCCUGUCUGACUUUAUCUCUCGGAGCACCGACUCAUCUUCAGACCCAAGGUUUCAGGCCCGACUCUUGCUCGAGAUAAAGCCUGAAAUAGACCACUCUCGCUGACAGCGAGGCGGCGUUAGAUAAGGCUGUUGUGUCCACAGCUUGGAGCUGGAAAUGGAGAGGGAGCGCAGAGGAGAGAGAGUGUAUGCAUGAGCAAGUAAGCAGAAUACAGUUGUGAGAUUGCAAUUCCGUUGAAGGGUUCUGCUGUAUGUGUUCGGCCUCCGACCCCCUUGUUCAAACACAGAUAAAAGGAGGGGAAGUUAUAGAACUGCACAAAUCUUUUGCACCCUUGCUUUUCUCGCCGAUUGAUUGCGCCUAUUGACCCGUGUGGCUUAAAGCCCCAGCCAAUUUGGUCACCCUGGCUUACAAAGAUAAGAAAAUUACCUUUUUUGCAACGCGCACGCUUGCGCGUAAACGCACGCCGGCACGCGUGCAUACCGAGGUGAACGGGCUCGACGGCGGCGUUUUAUUAAGCCUCCGCCAGACGCCGAGCAGCAAAAAGUGCAUCUGAAAUGGCUUUCCUGCAUUGGCAUGCGGAAGCCAAUCAAUAAUUGUGUGUCUUAGUAAAUUAGAUCCUGCAGACAAGAGGCAGUAGUCAGCAGAGCCAUCCCAGAGUAACCCCUUGCCUGGUUAGUUCAUUCUUCAUUAGACAAUGGCCCGGAGUAAUUGAAUUGGCCUGUACAAGCUGAGGGCUUGGCCUUCGCUUUUUCGCCUUUGACAGCAUAUAUUCAGAUCUGAUGGCUGUAGACCAGAGCCAAGAGCCCAUUUAUGACGGAGAGCCAAAGUUAAGACACUUAAAAGUACAUCUGCAAUCAAAUACCUUUAGUUUAAUGUCCACGUCCUGGGAUUGAUAAUCAAUAGGAUGCUGGUCCGUUGAAGUUAGAACUACAAAUCAAUGUCUCGUGACUGAACAAAAUCAGAUUUUUAUCAUACUUCUGUACUUUCCUCACUCAUUAUUCCAGAGUUGACCAUCACAAUGGCCAGACAAUGGGAACACAUGGGUGGAUGGAUGGGAGCAUGUGAUGCUUAAAUUUCCAUCAUUUGCCUCUACAUGAACUACGUUUUUGUGAUAUUCCCAAAUUCAUUAUUUGUUUUUAUCAGCAGUUGGCACGAACCUAGGAGUAUUUGACGUUUUCAAUGUUUUGUUGAAAAUAUCGACUGCCACGUCCAUCUGACUGAGUUUUUUGUGUUUUUUUUUUUGUCUUGGGUUUCUUGAAUCGUUUUAUUUAAUUUCCUUGUCAAUUUCGCCUAGUCAACAAUUAUAAUGGUGAAAAACCUCAGGACGUUUCAGAAAAUGCACCCAAGUUGGGACUCGAAUUUUAAAUCAGAUUUGUUUUUCAAAAUAAGAUGGAGGUCAAAGUUAUAUAUUUUCCCUCCCGUUCUAGCCUGGCAGGUCUGCUGGGAGACCUCUGUCUGUUGUCAGCGGUCAAAGGUCAAGAGUUUGUGUAGCUCCUGAGCAGCCUGGGAAUCUGCCACCAUCCAUCGCAAGCAGCAGGUAAUGGAUCGAGCGAGCGCGGGACCUGAUGUGGCUGCAGAUGAGCCGGCCCCGUGGGCGUGAGAGUGGGUGUUCAAAUGGAUUUGGAGAAGCUCGCCUGGAGUACCAGCACACCUAGAACUUAGUGUUCACUCCUCGGUGCCAAACCCUUCACAUCUCCUCAUUUCUUCCCUCAAAGACAAAACAAAAACAAAAAAACAAACCCGUGACAGCAGGAUGCUGGAAUGCUGUUGUCGGGUUGGUUAGGGGACAUUUUGAUGCUAUCAGGACGCUCUUUCUCGACACUCUCUAAUCCCGGCAGUGUCGCAAAAGCACUCUGUUCUACUUUCUCGCUGUGAUUGCUGAAGCAUAGAUCAGGAGCCUUAUAAAGGUAGCGCCCACCCCGAUGUCACAAUAUCACUGCUGGAAAUCAUAAAUUGUUUGAGUGUACGCCAUGUGUUCAGAGCAGUUGUGGAGUGCAGAGUAAAUGGCUCCAAACUAAAAGAUGAAAAAAGAAAAAAAAGCUACAGGAUGCUGCACUCUCCACAGAAUCCUAGCAGAACACUGGAAGCUAAUACUCACAAACAUCUGUUAAUAAAUAAUGGAUGAAGAUGAAAUACUUGUAUGGGCCACUCUAGAACAGAUGUUAUUUAUAGCGUCAUAGAGCUACGGUCUCAAUCACGGCUGAUGAAAUUUAAUAUGAGACGUUUAUUUUGCAAUAUCCUAAAGGUACAUAGUCGUGUAUUACAACUUUAUGGAUUUUUUUUUGAAGCUACGUUUUGUCAUAUCAGAUCUAAUUUUGCAUGUAUUUUUGGGGGAGGAUAUCAUGGAAUAGGCCGACACAAAUUAAUAGGACAGCAACCCUAAACUAACCUGAAAUUUUAAAUAAAUUCUUAGUAUUUUCGCCCAGUGUGCCUUGGCUUCGGGGCAUUAUUUAUAAAAUAUACGCAAUGUGGCAAAAUGACCAGAAGGGCAUAUCCUGGGGGUAGAAAUAGUACUUAAGAAUGUAUCCACUUUUGCGUUAAUUUAAAAAAAGAAAAAUUGACCAAACUUGUUGGCUGUCCUAGAUUUAUCUUUAAGUUGCUAAACGAGAGGGGGAAAGGGAGGAAAAGAUCUUAUGUGUCAAGUUUUGACUUUGUUGUCAAAACCUUAGUGUUUCCAACCCUGCACCUUUAUUAUGAACUGUCAAAAGAAAAAAACUUUGAGUUAUUCUGGGUUUUCUUUUUGUUGUUUUCUAUUAUAAUCCACCAAGAAGCCGUUCACAGUACCAUUAAGAAUUUGUAAAAAAAAAACAACAAAAAAAACCUUUUAACCACGACUGUUUUUCUUUGCAUAUACAAACAAAAUGAAAAAUCUAAAUGGACCAAAAAGAGAGGAAUGCUCUCAUAUAAAAGAGUUACAUUUACAAGACAGCUGGAACUCUAAAUUCCAGUUUCCUUAAACUGAACUGCUGCGUAUUUUCUGUCUGUGAGAGAUCCAGGUGUCAUUUUAUGUGUUUGUGUACACUGAAAAUGUUUGGCCUUGGACCAAAUGAAAAUGCAUCCUGGCAUUGAAAACAUUUUUUUUUUUUUUCUUGGUUUAUUAGAACACAUUUUGGGGGCGGGAGGGUGGCAGCAUGUGCUCAUGUGGCUGCACUUGAGAGAGAUGAUGGGAGGGCACAGCGGCCGCCUGCAGGCACCGGCGGCAGCACAUUGUCGGGGGCAAAUUCGAGGCCAGACACCUGUUCUCCCAAAAUGAAUUAUGAAAUGAAGACAAGCAUCCACUGUUCUCUGCGCGUUUGGGCAAACGGGGGACGAGGCCAAAGACCUGGGGAGAAACGAAAUGAAGGCGCACGUUAAGCAACGAGACAGCCAGAGGAAGAAAUCAAGGUUAUGAGUCCUUGUUAACUUUAAUAGACUCUGAUGAAGCCGAAUGGAAUUCGAAUAGAUUUUUCUGCUGCGUGCUUCCCCUUUGUGCCGAUGCAACUAAAUUAAAAUAACUGCAGAGAGUCAUUUAAAUCUUAUGAAAUAUCGCUGUUCAUGAGCACGCUGCCAGUUGCCCCAUAAAGUGAAGAUGUAGCUGCUGUUAUUUAUACGUAUGAGUCAGACAUGCUUUGUCCCACGUUAGCUCGCGUCCCUAUUUUAUUUCACAAUGCGAACACAACCGCAGCGCAAGGUAGUCAGUGAUUCAGCAGCACUUGAUUUUGUAAGCAAAUUUACCUCCAGUGGGUAAAAAAAAAA